rnacentral:tRNA from 1 species
UCUAUUAUGGCAGAUUAAUGUAAUGAAUUUAAGUUUCAUAAAUAAAAUUUUUUUAAAUUUUUAAUAGAA